UACAGAGGGUGCGAGCGUUAAUCGGAAUUACUGGGCGUAAAGGGCGCGUAGGCGGGAUGAUAAGUCAUAGGUGAAAUCCCCGGGCUUAACCUGGGAAUGGCCUAUGAGACUGUUGUUCUAGAGUAAGGUAGAGGGAAGUGGAAUUUCCGGUGUAGCGGUGAAAUGCGUAGAUAUCGGAAGGAACACCAGUGGCGAAGGCGGCUUUCUGGACCUAUACUGACGCUGAGGCGCGAGAGCGUGGGGAGCAAACAGG
rnacentral:rRNA from 1 species